rnacentral:rRNA from 1 species
AUAAACGCUGGCGGCGUGCCUAACACAUGCAAGUCGAGCGAGAAAGCUCCUUCGGGAGUGAGUAUAGCGGCGGACGAGUGAGUAACACGUGAGUAUCUGCCCUUUGGUGAAGAAUACCCUCGAGAAAUUGAGGGCUAAUUCUGCAUACGUCCCUACGGGGAGAAAGGCGACUUAUGUGUCGCCAGAGGAUGAACUUGCGGUCUAUCAGCUAGUUGGUGAGGUAACGGCUCACCAAGGCUAUGACGGAUAGCCGGCCUGAGAGGGGUGUACGGCCACGUGGAACUGAGAUACGGUCCAGACUCCUACGGGAUGGCAAGCAGUGAGGGAAUCUUGCACAAUGGGCGAAAGCCUGAUGCAGCGACGCCGCGUGGAGGAUGAAGGCCAUUCGGGUGUAAACUCCUGUCAAACGGGAAGAAAGUCUAUGUCUAAUAUACAUAGGGUAUGACGGUACCGUUAAAGGAAGCACCGGCUAACUUCGUGCCAGCAGCCGCGGUAAUACGAAGGGUGCAAGCGUUAUUCGGAUUUAUUGGGUCGUAAAGGGUGUGUAGGUGGUAUGUUAAGUCUGUUGUUAAGGACCCUGGCCUAACCGGGGAAGUGCGGCGGAAACUAGCAUGCUAGAGGAUGAUGAGAGAGAAGUGGAAUUCUCGGAGUAGCGGAUAAAAUGCGUAGAUAUCGAGAGGAACACCGAUGGCGAAGGCAGCUUCUUGGCUCAUUCCUGACACUGAAACACGAAAGCGUGCGGAGAGCAAACAGGAUUAGAUACCCUGGUAGUCCACGCCGUAAACGAUGACCACUGGACUGUCGGUUCGACCUAGUCGAAUCGGUGUCGAAGCUAACGCGAUAGGUGGUUCGCCUGGGGAUUACGGUCGCAAGACUAAAACUUAAAGGAAUUGACGGGGGUCCGCACAAGCGGUGGAACAUGUGGUUUAAUUCGACACUACGCGAGGAACCUUACCUGGGCUUGACAUGUACUUGACUGCUGUAGAAAUACAGUUUUUUGAGCUUCGGUUCAAACAGGUACAACAGGUGCCUGCAUGGCUGUCGUCAGCUCGUGUCGUGAGACGUUGGGUUAAGUCCUCUAACGAGCGCAACCCCUGCCUCUAGUUGCAACCUGCCUUCGGGCAAGGCACUCUAGCGGGACUGCCUGGGAAACCAGGAGGAAGGUGGGGAUGAUGUCAAGUCAUCAUGGCUCCUUAUGCCCAGGGCUACACACGUGUUUACAAUGGUUGGUACAAAGGGGUGCAAUACCGUAAGGUGGAGCAAAUCCGAAAAAACCAAUCUAAGUUCGGAUUGGGGUCUGCAACUCGACCCCAUGAAGUUGAAAUCGCUAGUAAUCGCGUAUCAGAAUGGCGCGGUGAAUACGUUCUCGGGCCUUGUACACACCGCCCGUCACAUCAUGAGAGCUGUUUGUACCCGAAAUUGUCUUAGCUAACCCGUAAGGGAGGCGGGCACCUAAGGUAUGGAUGGUGAUUGGGAUG